GGGUAGUACAGAGGGUUGCCAAGCCGUAAGGUGGAGCUAAUCCCUUAAAGCUACUCUCAGUUCGGAUUGUAGGCUGAAACUCGCCUACAUGAAGCUGGAGAUACUAGUACUCGCAGUUCAGAAUGCUUCGGCGAAUGCGUUCCCGGGUCUUGUACACACCGCCCGUCACACCACGGGCGUUGGAGACGCCCGAAGCCGAUUAUCUAACCUUCUGGAGGAAGUCGUCGAAGGUGGAAUCAAUAACUGGGGUGAGUCGUAACAAGGUAGCCGUAUCGGAAGGUGCGGCUGGAUCACCUCCU
rnacentral:rRNA from 1 species